rfam:Aedes aegypti strain Liverpool supercont1.698 genomic scaffold, whole genome shotgun sequence.
UGCCCAGCAACUCCUAUCCCUACCUCCUCGUGGUACUGGCCGGGGUACGAGUAACCUUGGGGAAGAUCGGGUAACCUACCCCCGGUGGGAACUUUGGUCGUAUGCUGACAGGGAAGG